rnacentral:lncRNA from 1 species
UUAGAACCUUCUAGAAAGCCCUGGAAUCUGGGAAAGCCCUGGAAACUUCAGGAAAGCAUAGAUCUGGCCACUCACACAUUUGGUGCCAUGACUGGCAGGAGGAACUGAAGAGUCAGUCACACCCCACGUGGUGAGCAGAGCUGUGCAUAGGAAGAUGAAGGAAAUCAACUCUUCCUCACCAUAACUUGGUUAGACUGGUACAGCCGGAACUUGGGACUGCUGACAGGACCACAAGUUCUUCCUAAUACUGACGUCCCCACUUCUUCA